ACAUACUGUUAACAUCGAUGGUUCAUUCAAAGAACAGAAAUAAAAAAUUAAACACACCAAAAUCCCUUCUUGUUUUUAUGAUUUUUAAAAUUCUGUGGUUUUCCUAAAGAAUGAAAAUACGACAGAGAAAGUCACCUGUUAUUUUAAAAUAAAGAUAUCCUUUAAUUAAAAUAUUUAACCACAUGAGCUAUUACUUCACACCCAUUAGGAUGGCUAUUAUAAAAAAAAAAACACCAGAAAAUAACAAAUGUUGGCAAAAAUGUGGAGAAAUUGAGCUCUUGUGCAUUGCUGGUGAAAAUAUAAAAUGGUGAAGCCACUGUGGAAAACACCAUGCUGAUUCUUCAAUCCAGCAAUUCCACUCAAAUAAGUGAAAAUGGGGACUUGCACAGAUAUUUGUACACCCAUGUUCAUAGCAGCGUUGUUCACAGAAGUCAAAAGGGGGAAGCCAUCCAAGUGUCAGCGGUGGAGGAAUGGAUGAAGAAAGAGUGUUAUAUGCACACAAUGGAAUGUUAUUCAGUCUGAAAAAGGAAGAAACUCUUUAGUGCUACAACAUGGAUGAGCCUUGAGGACGUUACGUUAAGUGAAAUAAGCUAAUCAUAAAAAGAAAAAUAUUGUAUGAUUCCACUUAUCUGAGUUUUAGUAAUUGGAAGAGGAAAAUGAACGUGACUCGAAAUGGAGGAGAAAAUGAUCUUUCAACAAGAUCAAGCUUUUUGAAGACAUUCUACUGUCCGGAUGAAAUUUUGUUUGAUUGAGAAUAUUUUUUCAAAACUUUUAAGACGUUUUAAAUGACUUACAUAUAAAUGUGGCAAAAAUGUCACAAAGGACCAAUGUCAGAUCUCUAAUAUAAAUAAAAACAAUAAAAAAUUACUUGAGUGGUAUAAGCACA